AUUUGAUUUUUAGUUAGUAUAUUGGCUACUUUUGGUUCUUGCGGUUUCCGAAUGUGGUUGACUAAAACUUCUAUUUGCGUCCCAUAUACUGCUUUUUUGGAGAUAAUAUGAAUUUCUACUCGGCGAAGUCAAUACAUUUAGCUUUUUUUCCUAAUUUUUUUAAUACAAAAAUUGCUAUCAUGUUCUUAAGAUUACAUGACUUCACAUAUGCAGCAAUAGAAGUGAACUGUUUGU
rnacentral:misc_RNA from 1 species